GACGAACCGUCCAAACGUUAUUCGGAAUUACUGGGCUUAAAGGGUGCGUAGGCGGCGCGGAAAGUAGGGUGUGAAAUCCCUCGGCUUAACCGAGGAAUGGCGCUCUAAACUACCGUGCUCGAGGAAGAUAGAGGAGAGCGGAACUUAGGGUGGAGCGGUGAAAUGCGUUGAUAUGUGGAGGAACACCAAUGGCGAAGGCAGCCCCCUGGGUCAACACUGACGCUCAUGCACGAAAGCGUGGGGAGCAAACAGG
rnacentral:rRNA from 1 species